rnacentral:lncRNA from 1 species
UUCAAAGCAAAAUUCAAUGUGAUUCUAAAAUGAAAGCUGGAUUCAGUUUCCUUGAAUGCUGAAAUUACAUUGAAAUCCAAAAAGAAAACGAAAAUGGAACCAAAAAUUCAUAAAUGGAACCAAAAUGGAACAAAUUCGCAAAUGGAACAGAUUAAUUAAAUGGAACCAACAAAUUCAUAAAUGGAACCAACAAAUCGAAUUUAAAAUCGAAUCCAAAAGAAAACCCAAAAACUGGAAGGAAGCGGCGGCAGCCGUGACUUGCUGCUGCUCGCCGGAGAUCUGGAAGGAAGCGACGACGGUCAAAUGGAAGUCAGCAGCAGCGCUCUUCGCCGGAAGAGGCUAGGGCGGCAGGCGCCGGAAGUCAGCCACCGUCGACUGUCCCCUCACCCCCUUUCCUUCGCCUCUGCUUUUUUCUUCACAGACGCGAUGGCGCCGCCGCCCUGCAAACCCUAGCUCCCAGAUCCGCCGGCCUGUAAACCCUAGUUCACCGGCGAGGGGGGAGAAGGAAGGAGAUGAAGCAAAUGAUUUCGUCGGGGAAAGCGAAGCCAACGACCUCACCGCUGCUGUGCAGUCGAAAGGAAAAGAGAGGGGGACGGGUGGCGGUUGUUCAGCCGGAGAAGAAGAAGUAGGCAGCGGCGCACCGCUGAACCAGCGUUUGCCGCCCUAUUUCCGAACGAGAGAGACAGAGAGAGGGCGAGAUGUGGGUGGAUACCGCCGGCUUCGUCGGGCGGUGCUGGUGGCAAGAGAGCCAAGAGAGAGAGAGGGUCGUUUGUAGGUGAAGUGGGAGAGGAUGGGAG